GGGUCCCAGGGGGGUCCCCAGGCCGGGGGUCCGCUCUCACCGCGCAGCAGAGCCCUCACGAAGCGCCCGGCUCCCGGCACCGCCAGCCACCAACUCCCGGCAUCGCGCACGGUCAGGAGCCCCGCGGCCACCAGAGCCCUGCUGGGGCCACCAGAACCCGGCUGGGGCCACCAGAGCCCUGCCGGGGCCACCAAAACCCGGCUGUGGCCACCAAAACCCGGCUGUGGCCACCAAAACCCGGCUGUGGCCACCAAAACCCGGCUGGGGCCACCAAAACCCGGCUGGGGCCACCAAAACCCUGCUGUGGCCACCAAAACCCAGCCAUGGCCACCAGAACCCGGCUGUGGCCACCAGAACCCGGCUGGGGCCACCAAAACCCGGCUGUGGCCACCAGAGCCCUGCUGGGGCCACCAAAACCCUGCUGGGGCCACCAAAACACGGCUGUGGCCACCAAAGCCUGGCUGUGGCCAUCAGAACCUGGCUGUGGCUACCAGAACCCGGCUGUGGCCACCAGAACCCGGCUGUGGCCACCAGAACCCCCCAGAGCCACCCUGGGGGUCCCAAACCCCACCCUGGGCUGUCCCCAGGUCCCCCCAGGUGUCCCCAUGACCCCCAGGUGUCCCCAGGUGUGUUCCAGGUGUGUUUUUGGUGUCCCCAGGUGUCCCCCCAUGACCCCCAGCUGUCCCCAAAUGUCCCCAGGUGUCCCCAGGUGUCCCCAGGUGUCCCCAGGUGAGGUUUUGGUG
rnacentral:lncRNA from 1 species